AAAGAAAGCUGAGAAGGACACAAUUGUUUGUUACUCAAAAGGUGCUUGUAUCCUAAUUAUUUGGCGAGUUCUAUAUAAAGGGAAAAAAAUGAGCGAACGCGAUGGUCUUGAAGUUGUUAGAAAUCCAAAGAGGCCUAUCGGCGCUUGGAUACAUUACUAUAACGAUCAAUUAGCCAUGAUGAAAAAGAAGGAUAAAGGAGUGAAGAUAAAUGAUGAUGUAAGGAAUAAUAUUGCUAUGUCUAAUAUAAUUACAUUUU